rnacentral:rRNA from 1 species
CCUGAGAAACCCAAAAGAUCGAAUGGGGAGAUUCAUCGUCAGCUCAUUUUAUAUAUAUGCUAGUUAUGAUAUGGGUUACUACUUGUAGUAUUGCCUGUACAUUCUUGUAUAUUUGAUUGUAAAAUGUUGUCGGCGUGCACUUCUCCCCUAGUAGGACGUCGCGACCCGUUGAGUUUGUUGGUCUACGGCCCAAGUGGGAGCUUUUAAUGAAUUUUAUUCAUUGAAAACCCUUGGUGUUCUCCUGACUGGCGCUCGUCGGUAUUCGUAUGGUAUUGAGCCGCAUAUUAUAUGCGUCCAUAUCUGUCGCAAGCGAGGUUAGUUACGCUGAUAGUGCGGACCUAGUGCCGUCUCUUGGUGCUAACCAGCUGUUGGUUGUACAGAAUUCUAGGACUGGCUCG